rnacentral:rRNA from 1 species
AAUACCGAAUGUUGUAGAGUUUCCGCAUGGGAAUCCUACUAAAGAUGGCCUCUACUUGUAAGCUAUCGCUUUACGAUGGGUCUGCGUCUGAUUAGCUAGUUGGUGGGGUAACGGCCUACCAAGGCGACGAUCAGUAGCCGGUCUGAGAGGAUGAACGGCCACAUUGGAACUGAGACACGGUCCAGACUCCUACGGGAGGCAGCAGUGGGGAAUCUUCCGCAAUGGGCGCAAGCCUGACGGAGCAACGCCGCGUGAGUGAAGAAGGGUUUCGACUCGUAAAGCUCUGUUGUCGGGGACGAAUGUGGAGAUGGUGAAUAACCAUUUCCAAUGACGGUACCUGACGAGGAAGCCACGGCUAACUACGUGCCAGCAGCCGCGGUAAUACGUAGGUGGCGAGCGUUGUCCGGAAUUAUUGGGCGUAAAGGGAGCGCAGGCGGGAAGGUAAGUCUAUCUUAAAAGUGCGGGGCUCAACCCCGUGAGGGGAUGGAAACUAUCUUUCUUGAGUGCAGGAGAGGAAAGCGGAAUUCCUAGUGUAGCGGUGAAAUGCGUAGAUAUUAGGAGGAACACCAGUGGCGAAGGCGGCUUUCUGGACUGUAACUGACGCUGAGGCUCGAAAGCGUGGGGAGCGAACAGGAUUAGAUACCCUGGUAGUCCACGCCGUAAACGAUGAAUGCUAGGUGUAGGAGGUAUCGACCCCUCCUGUGCCGGAGUUAACGCAAUAAGCAUUCCGCCUGGGGAGUA